GACGUAGGGCGCGAGCGUUGUCCGGAAUUAUUGGGCGUAAAGAGCUCGUAGGCGGUUUGUCGCGUCUGCUGUGAAAACUGGGGGCUCAACUCCCAGCCUGCAGUGGGUACGGGCAGACUAGAGUGCGGUAGGGGAGAUUGGAAUUCCUGGUGUAGCGGUGGAAUGCGCAGAUAUCAGGAGGAACACCGAUGGCGAAGGCAGAUCUCUGGGCCGUAACUGACGCUGAGGAGCGAAAGCAUGGGGAGCGAACAGG
rnacentral:rRNA from 1 species